rnacentral:sRNA from 1 species
AAUGCAGAGGUGGGGGACAGAGUGGGUGGGGAGGGGAGCCGCCAUACAGUGGCCAGGACCAGCUUUGCCCAAGUGGUGGCAACCGCAUGACCACAGGAACGAUGGCGUGAGCCCCGUGGCAACCUGGAGGAAGGGGUGUGAGAAGAAAACAUUAGAACUUCUAUUUUGUACCUGUGUUACUCCACAACAAGAAAGCAAUCAGCUUGAUCAAUGCCUACUGUAAAGACAGCACCGCCCUCCGGAGGUCCUUUCUCAGCCCUGGUGUUCGGACAGCCACAUCCCCUCGCAGCAGGGGGAGGCCUGAAGCAUAGAGGGGCCCAUGCAGGUCUAUUCUGUUUCAGCAAAUUGCCUGGGAAAUAAUCCAGGAUCCAUUUCGUGUGGUCAUCUUGUCUCCCUGGUCCCCUCCAGCCUUUCCUCAUCUUUUGUGACCUGGUCACUCUGGAAGGGCGCUGGCCAGUUAGUCCACAGGAUGGGCCUCCCCUGGGGCUUUUCUGAUGCUUCCUUAUGAUGGCACUGGCAUCCUGAGGGGGAGGACCACAGAGAGGAGGUGCUCCUCAUCACACCACAUGGGGGUCCAUGCACCAGUGCCACUGCUUUCCAGGGCUCUUCACCUUCAUCACUGGUGGAGGUGGCGUCUGCCAAGAAGCAGAAAGUUGAGGCUUAGAAGGUGCAUGGCCCUACCUCUUCUAAGGUGCCCCUGCGGGCUGUCUACAGACCAGGCAGCACAUGCCUGAUAGCAGCUGCAUAAGGAAAAGCAGGAGCCAGCUCGUGCACAGUGGCCUCAAGUGUGCGCUGGGCAUGUUAUCUGCCUCACCAUCCCUGUGUGACAGAUGAAGCAUGGCAAGCCAGGCUCCAGAGAAGCAUCCUGAGGACCAGUGUUCCUAGGGACCUCAUUCUUCUGACCUCAUUCCUACAACGUUUUGUCACUGCAAAGGAAAUCACCAAGGCCAGCAUGACAGCCCUCAACAGAAGCCAAGGCCAAGUCCUCGAACUUCCUAGUCUGCACAAUGACACUUCUGAUGAAACUGAAAAUGCCACCAGGGAGAAGCAGCUGAAAUAACACUUGUGCUGAGGUCGCUGAGCCACUGUGGAAGACAUCCAAGCUCCAUAAAGACAGGUCAAGUGCACAUGCUCCAGUCAACAGCCCAGCUGAGCCCUCAGCAUACAGCCAACACCAACUGCAAGCUGAGGGUGAAACAACUUGGAUGUCCAUUUGGAUGUCAAGCUGGACUUCAGAUGCCUGUGGUUGCAGCUCUGUCUGCAACUACAUGGAAGACGCCAUGUGAACCACCUAGUAGAGCCCUUCCUAGAAUUGUUGGCCCUCAGACUCUACAUGCAUAUCAAAAUGAAUGUUGUUUGAAGCCAU